AUUGAACGCUGGCGGCAGGCCUAACACAUGCAAGUCGAGCGGAUGAAGGGAGCUUGCUCCUGGAUUCAGCGGCGGACGGGUGAGUAAUGCCUAGGAAUCUGCCUGGUAGUGGGGGAUAACGUCCGGAAACGGGCGCUAAUACCGCAUACGUCCUGAGGGAGAAAGUGGGGGAUCUUCGGACCUCACGCUAUCAGAUGAGCCUAGGUCGGAUUAGCUAGUUGGUGGGGUAAAGGCCUACCAAGGCGACGAUCCGUAACUGGUCUGAGAGGAUGAUCAGUCAGACUGGAACAGAGACACGGGCCAGACUACUACGGGAGGCGGCAGUGGGGAAUAUUGGACGAUGGGCGAAAGCCUGAAACAGCCAUGCCGCGUGGGUGAAGAAGGUCUUCGUAUUGUAAAGCACUUUAAGUUGGAAGGAAGGGCAGUAAGUUAAUACCUUGCUGUUUUGACGUUACCAACAGAAUAAGCACCGGCUAACUUCGUG
rnacentral:rRNA from 1 species